GCCAGGCAUGGUGGUGCUUGCCUGUAAUCCCAGCUACUGGGGAGGCUGAGGCAGGAGAAUCGCUUGAACCCAGGAGAUGGAGGCUACAGUGAGCCGAGAUUGCACCACUGCAUUCCAGCCUGGGCAACAGAGUGAGAUUCUGUCUCAA
rnacentral:SRP_RNA from 1 species